AACGGGAAAUAUUUUAUUGAAACUUCGGUGGAUUUAAUUUAUUUCUAGUGGCGGACGGGUGAGUAACGCGUGGGUAACCUGCCUUAUACUGGGGGAUAACAGCCAGAAAUGGCUGCUAAUACCGCAUAAGCGCACAGGACCGCAUGGUCUGGUGUGAAAAACUCCGGUGGUAUAAGAUGGACCCGCGUUGGAUUAGCUAGUUGGCAGGGCAGCGGCCUACCAAGGCGACGAUCCAUAGCCGGCCUGAGAGGGUGAACGGCCACAUUGGGACUGAGACACGGCCCAGACUCCUACGGGAGGCAGCAGUGGGGAAUAUUGCACAAUGGGGGAAACCCUGAUGCAGCGACGCCGCGUGAAGGAAGAAGUAUCUCGGUAUGUAAACUUCUAUCAGCAGGGAAGAUAAUGACGGUACCUGACUAAGAAGCCCCGGCUAACUACGUGCCAGCAGCCGCGGUAAUACGUAGGGGGCAAGCGUUAUCCGGAUUUACUGGGUGUAAAGGGAGCGUAGACGGCGCAGCAAGUCUGAUGUGAAAGGCAGGGGCUUAACCCCUGGACUGCAUUGGAAACUGUUGAGCUUGAGUGCCGGAGGGGUAAGCGGAAUUCCUAGUGUAGCGGUGAAAUGCGUAGAUAUUAGGAGGAGCACCAGUGGCGAA
rnacentral:rRNA from 1 species